UGUGGCUGCAAGGGAAGGCGGCCGUCAGCGACUCCCCACGGGUCAAGGGCGACUCCCCACGGGUCGGAGCCGUUGGGUGGAAAAGACUCCGCAACGAACCGUGCUGGGAAAACUGCAUCUAAUCGCUCAAGAGUGACGCCGGGCCCUCACCUCACAGCACAGGAAGGAAAUGAACUCAAAACCCACCAACCCCAAAGCUGAAUAUAUGAAAAGCCCUUCCGACUACACAGCGUACAGCCUGUCUUUAAGGCCGGGCAGGGGAGCUACAGAGAUACAGAGCCGGUGAGAAGGUGCCCAGUGUCGGCGACUUCAGGGACACACCAAGAGCUGCUCUGCUUGGCAGAGAGAUCAAUUGUUCUUUACAACAAGGCACGAAGCUGGUGCUUCUGAUGCUAUGUUCGUGCCCAACCCUCCAGGAAGAAAGAAGUCCUGUCUCUUCG